rnacentral:misc_RNA from 1 species
AACUCCCUGAGUAUGGCCAUGGCCCUGGCCCACUUCCCCGAACAGCGCAUCCUGUGCAUGACCACAAGGGCCGCCGCAGCACAGACAGCCGCCGCACAGACCACCGCCGCACCCACCGCCACCUUUCCCAUGAGCACUAGCAGCAAUAAAAAAAGCUCACACCUGCCUCUGUAAAAUACGAAAUGUCUGAUGGCUUGCUCCCGUUGGAUCUUUUUUAUUCUUUCAAGAUGUUGAGACGAAGAUAGAGGCAAUAGAGGGAUUUAUAUUAUUAUAGUAUAUAAUUAAAAAGAAAAAGAAAGGGAAACGAUUUUCUCUGGGAUUCAGCAGGAUUUUCUCGGGAAAUGAGUGCAAAAAUUGUUUGCUUGUUG